UGGCGUGUCACUGGCAAUAGAGAAGUGCAAAUCGCUUCUGCUGCUUUUGUUUGCGCCGUGGCAGAAGCAUUGACGGUAACGUUUGUAUUUCUGCAUAUUGCGUUUUUUCACGCUUGUAGUGGGCUGUUUAGUCUCGUCUUUCAGUGAUCCACUGCUGCCUUGUUAUGCAUGACUGCCUUGCGAUUGUAGCAGGAUGGAGUCCUGCAGCUCAUCAUGCGUGUUGUCUGCUGAGACUGUGGGCCAAUCACGGCUAAAGGGUCCCCUAAAAAAGGGGGCGUGUUAUUGUGUCGGCCUCGUGCUUGUUCCUACGUAGGUACGUCCCUUCCUGGUCGCCUCGUGUGUUCCGGGGCUCCUCAGGAAAUGAGAGGAGUGCCCACCAUCUUUGUGGCUUCAGGUGGUCUCCUUCUCCCGGUGUUCCAGUGGACAGGAAAACGAAGAUACCAACCAAAAAGAUGAGCUGACGGCAGAACCUCUCUCAACGCUACAGGAAAAAGACAGAUAUCAACCAAAUACAAGAUAAAAGAGCAUAAUCCUUUACAAUGGACAAUGUCCCUCCAGAAGUAGAUGAUGAUCACUCCUCUCAUGGACUAACAGAAGGGCAAAAGCUCCUUUACACCGAGACACAACACCAUUGGUGUAUCAAUGGAAGACCUGCUGAAACCGCCUUCUGAAAGUUGCAUUCUGCUGGGACUAGAGCAGUUCCAGAACCCAUUGGAUGAUAUUAGACAUUAUGGAUACCAGUUUGAACAACACCAUUGGUAAUGGUAAUGGUUUUAUUCCAUUUGAACAUGCAUCAGAUUACAAUUGCAUGCAUCACAUAAUCAGUUCACAGUUCCACAUGUCCAAAAGGAGUAGGAAGAAGCAAAGCUUAUUAAAUCCUACCCCUCCAUCUGGCACUUUUACAAUCUGUAACGGUUACAUUUGUUCACUUCCUGCUUUCCAUAAUACAG